rnacentral:tRNA from 1 species
GGCAAUAUACUUUAUAUAGAAGAUCUAGUUUGCAUCUAGAAAGAAACACUUUGUUUUUUGCCA